rnacentral:rRNA from 1 species
UACGAAGGGGGCUAGCGUUGCUCGGAAUUACUGGGCGUAAAGCGCACGUAGGCGGCUUUGUAAGUUAGAGGUGAAAGCCCGGGGCUCAACUCCGGAAUUGCCUUUAAGACUGCAUCGCUCGAAUUGUGGAGAGGUAAGUGGAAUUCCGAGUGUAGAGGUGAAAUUCGUAGAUAUUCGGAAGAACACCAGUGGCGAAGGCGACUUACUGGACACAUAUUGACGCUGAGGUGCGAAAGCGUGGGGAGCAAACAGG